rnacentral:rRNA from 1 species
CGCUGGCGGCGUGCUUAACACAUGCAAGUCGAACGAUUGAAGCUGGAGCUUGCUCCGGCCGAUUUAGUGGCGGACGGGUGAGUAACGCGUGGGUAACCUGCCUCAUACAGGGGGAUAGCAGUUGGAAACGACUGGUAAAACCGCAUAAGCGCACGGUAUCGCAUGAUACAGUGUGAAAACACUCCGGUGGUAUGAGAUGGACCCGCGUCUGAUUAGCUAGUUGGUGAGGUAACGGCCCACCAAGGCGACGAUCAGUAGCCGGCCUGAGAGGGUGAACGGCCACAUUGGGACUGAGACACGGCCCAAACUCCUACGGGAGGCAGCAGUGGGGAAUAUUGCACAAUGGGGGAAACCCUGAUGCAGCGACGCCGCGUGAGUGAAGAAGUAUUUCGGUAUGUAAAGCUCUAUCAGCAGGGAAGAUAAUGACGGUACCUGACUAAGAAGCACCGGCUAAAUACGUGCCAGCAGCCGCGGUAAUACGUAUGGUGCAAGCGUUAUCCG